CCUACGGGUGGCUGCAGUCGAGAAUCUUCGGCAAUGGGCGCAAGCCUGACCGAGCGACGCCGCGUGCGGGAUGAAGGCCUUCGGGUUGUAAACCGCUGUCGAGGGGAAUGAAGUGCAGGUGGGUUCUCCCAUCUGUUUGACAGAUCCCUGGAGGAAGCAUGGGCUAAGUUCGUGCCAGCAGCCGCGGUAAGACGAACCAUGCAAACGUUAUGCGGAUUCACGGGGCUUAAAGGUCGCGUAAGCCAGGUGGGAAAGCCCUCAGCCCAACUGAGGAAUUGCGCUUGAUACUGCAUGACUAGAGAAUGAUAGAGGUGGGUGGAACUGAUGGUGGAGCGGUGAAAUGCGUUGAUAUCAUCAGGAACACCAGUGGCGAAGGCGACCCACUGGGUCAUUUCUGACGCUGAGGUACGAAAGCUAGGGUAGCGAACGGGAUUAGAUACCCGAGUAGUC
rnacentral:rRNA from 1 species